rnacentral:tRNA from 1 species
GCGGGGGUGGCAGAGCCAGGUCAAAUGCGGCGGACUCAAGAUCCGCUCCCCGCAGGGGGUUCGUGGGUUCAAAUCCCACCCCCCGCACCA